rnacentral:rRNA from 1 species
GCGAAAGCCUGACGCAGCGACGCCGCGUGGGGGAAGAAGGCCUUCGGGUUGUAAACCCCUUUCGUGAGGGAAAAAGUCCCGAGCAAUCGGGAUGAUGGUACCUCAGGAAGAAGCCACGGCUAACUCUGUGCCAGCAGCCGCGGUAAGACAGAGGUGGCAAGCGUUGUUCGGAUUUACUGGGCUUAAAGGGCGUGUAGGCGUCCUGAUAAGUCAGAUGUGGAAGCCUUGAGCUUAACCCAAGAAUUGCAUUUGAAACUGUCAGGAUUGAGUCGUGCAUGGGAGGGCGGAAUUCCUGGUGUAGCGGUGAAAUGCGUAGAUAUCAGGAGGAAGGCCGGUGGUGAAGAUGGCCCUCUGGGCAAUGACUGACGCUGAGGCGCGAAAGCGUGGGUAGCAAACAGGAUUAGAUACCCUGGUAGUCCACGCCCUAAACGGUGGGUACUAGGUGUGGGUGGCGAUAGUCAUCCGUGCCGAAGGGAAACCAUUAAGUACCCCGCC